AAGCAAACGGGGAAGAACCUUACCAGUUCUNGAACANAAUUCGNGCUAUUCUUAGAGAUAGGAAGUUCUUUCGGGGACACGGGGAUACAGGUGGUGCAUGGUUGUCGUCAAGCUCGUGUCGUGAGAUGUUGGGGUUAAGUCCCGCAACGAGCGCAAACCCCUAUUGUUAGUUGCCAUCAUUAAGUUGGGCACUCUAGCGAGACUGCCGGUAAUAAACCGGAGGAAGGUGGGGAUGACGUCAAAUCAUCAUGCCCCUUAUGACCUGGGCUACACACGUGCUACAAUGGUUGGUACAACGAGUCGCAAGGCAGUGAUGUCAAGCUAAUCUCUUAAAGCCAAUCUCAGUUCGGAUUGUAGGCUGCAACUCGCCUACAUGAAGUCGGAAUCGCUAGUAAUCGCGGAUCAGCACGCCGCGGUGAAUACGUUCCCGGGCCUUGUACACACCGCCCGUCACACCACGAGAGUUUGUAAUACCCAAAGCCGGUGAGCUAACCUUUUAGGAGGCAGCCGUCUAAGGUAGGAUAGAUGAUUGGGGUGAAGUCGUAACAAGGUAGCCGUAUCGGAAGGUGCGGCUGGAUCACCUCCUUAAGCUUGGAUCCCGGGAUGGGAUNCCCCGGGUACCGNGCUAGNAGGNCAUGGCGNUNAAGGAG
rnacentral:rRNA from 1 species